GGGGGCGUAAGUUAGUCUGGAGAGACUGAGGGUCUGCUAAACCCUUAGUCGUGGGUUCAAAUCCCAUCGCCCCCA
rnacentral:tRNA from 1 species